rnacentral:rRNA from 1 species
GAUGAACGCUGGCGGCGUGCCUAAUACAUGCAAGUCGAGCGAACAGAUGAGGAGCUUGCUCCUCUGACGUUAGCGGCGGACGGGUGAGUAACACGUGGAUAACCUACCUAUAAGACUGGGAUAACUUCGGGAAACCGGAGCUAAUACCGGAUAAUAUAUUGAACCGCAUGGUUCAAUAGUGAAAGACGGUUUUGCUGUCACUUAUAGAUGGAUCCGCGCCGCAUUAGCUAGUUGGUAAGGUAACGGCUUACCAAGGCAACGAUGCGUAGCCGACCUGAGAGGGAGAUCGGCCACACUGGAACUGAGACACGGUCCAGACUCCGACGGUAGGAAGCAGUAGGGAAUCUUCCGCAAUGGGCGAAAGCCUGACGGAGCAACGCCGCGUGAGUGAUGAAGGUCUUCGGAUCGUAAAACUCUGUUAUUAGGGAAGAACAAAUGUGUAAGUAACUAUGCACAUCUUGACGGUACCUAAUCAGAAAGCCACGGCUAACUACGUG